rnacentral:rRNA from 1 species
GUUUUUCGCUUGAGGAUGAGCCCAUACGGGAUUAGCUAGUUGGUGAGGUAAUGGCUCACCAAGGCUACGAUCCCUAACUGGUCUUAGAGGAUGAUCAGUCACACUGGAACUGAGACACGGUCCAGACUCCUACGGGAGGCAGCAGUAGGGAAUAUUGCGCAAUGGGGGAAACCCUGACGCAGCGACGCCGCGUGAGUGAUGAAGGCCUUCGGGUCGUAAAGCUCUGUCGUAUGGGACUAACAAAAUG